UACGUAGGUGACAAGCGUUGUCCGGAAUUACUGGGCGUAAAGCGCGCGUAGGUGGCCUCAUAAGUCCGCUGUGAAAGUCCAAGGCUCAACCUUGGAAAGCCGGUGGAUACUGUGAGGCUAGAGUACGGAAGAGGCGAGUGGAAUUCCUGGUGUAGCGGUGGAAUGCGCAGAUAUCAGGAGGAACACCAAUAGCGAAGGCAGCUCGCUGGGACGUUACUGACACUGAGGCGCGAAAGCGUGGGGAGCGAACAGG
rnacentral:rRNA from 1 species